CAAUAGCGUAUAUUAAAGUUGUUGCAGUUAAAAGCUCGUAGUCGGAUUUUGGCAUCAUGCCGAACUGUCAGCCGAUUGGUUUGUACGGUUUGGCGGGUGCUCUCCUUCCGGAGGCUCGUUUCCUCUUUCAUUAGAGGGUUCGAUGGUUCCGGGUCUUUUACUUUGAAAAAUUAGAGUGUUCAAAGCAGGCCUAUGCUCUGAAUAGGUUAGCAUGGAAUAAUAGAAAAGGACCUCGGUUCUAUUUUGUUGGUUUUCGGAACUUGAGGUAAUGAUUAAGAGGGACAGACGGGGGCAUUCGUAUUACGGUGUUAGAGGUGAAAUUCUUGGAUCGCCGUAAGACGAACUACUGCGAAAGCAUUUGCCAAGAAUGUUUUCAUUAAUCAAGAACGAAAGUCAGAGGUUCGAAGAUGAUUAGAUACCA
rnacentral:rRNA from 1 species